rnacentral:rRNA from 1 species
CGUGUAGGCGGUUUGUUAAGUCUGAUGUGAAAGCCCCGGGCUCAACCUGGGAAGCGCAUUGGAAACUGGCUGACUUGAGUACGGGAGAGGGAAGUGGAAUUCCGAGUGUAGGGGUGAAAUCCGUAGAUAUUCGGAGGAACACCAGUGGCGAAGGCGGCUUCCUGGACCGAUACUGACGCUGAGACGCGAAAGCGUGGGGAGCAAACA